rnacentral:tRNA from 1 species
GCCGAGGUGGCGGAAUUGGUAUACGCGCAGUCUUGAGGAGGCUGUCCCGCUUGCGGGAUGGAGGUUCAAGUCCUCUCCUCGGCA